rnacentral:rRNA from 1 species
UACGAGAGCCUCGAGCGUUAUCCGGAAUUAUUGGGCGUAAAGGGUGCGUAGGUUGUUCUGUUAGUCUUUUGUUAAAUCCCCGAGCUUAACUUGGGAAUCGCGAAGGAAACGGCAGAACUUGAAAGUGCGAGAGGCGUACGGAACUCAUGGUGUAGGGGUGAAAUCCGUUGAUAUCAUGGGGAACACCAAAUGCGAAAGCAGUACGCUGGCGCAUAUUUGACACUGAAGCACAAAAGCGUGGGUCGCGAAUGGG